rnacentral:rRNA from 1 species
UACGAAGGGGGCUAGCGUUGUUCGGAAUUACUGGGCGUAAAGGGCGCGUAGGCUGUGCUGUAAGUCAGGCGUGAAAGCCCCGGGCUCAACCUGGGAGGUGCGCUUGGGACUGGUUGGCUUGAGUUCGGGAGAGGAGAGGUGGAAAUUCCCAGUGUAGAGGUGAAAUUCGUAGAUAAUUGGGAAGAACACCGGGUGGCGAAGGCGGCUCUCUGGACC